ACUUGUUUGCAGCAGCAGCGAGGCGGUGCGGGAGGUGUGGGCUGCGGGAGCCCUUCUGCCCAAACGCCAUCCGGGAUGAAAUGGGGCUAACAGGGAGCAAAAGGCUGAACGGUAAUUGCACCGGGGUCAUUUGUAGGGUAAGGAGCUUCCCAGGGAGCGGAGCUUCGCAAAGAGGGUUUGCUUUAUAUACCGUAUUGUCUCGGGUCGCCGAGGAAUAUAUCCAUAUAUCCCAAUGUACCGGGAUAAAAAUAACACCUUCCCCUCCAGGUGCUCGUGGACUCGUUCUGCACCGACCUGCCAGUCUGCAGGCCCCAAAAAUACAGGCACGGCCCAAAGGUUUCUAUUCAGGGCUCAGCAGUGGAAUAAGGAACAUGAGCCGUGGGAUAUCCCGUGUCACCGCAGGCUGCUCAGCCUGGAAGGGGCUGGUGGCAAAGGGAGGAAACGUCAGAAACGCCAUGGACUAUUUUAGAUCUGCAACCUCAGUUCUGCAAAGGACAGCCUGCUGAUGUGCCACGCUCAGCGAGCAGCGGGGAGGAACCCCACGGCAGGAAGAGAGGUUUGCAAGUUUCCCUUUCCCAUAGAGCACAUCCCAAACUGCUGCACGACAGCAUGCUGUGCAGUGCUGUGCUGCGUGGUGUCCUGUCAGCCUGCUGGGAGGACACGGAGUGCUCCAGCAGUGGGCAAUGUGGGAGCAGGCUGUGAGCUGCACAGCCCAGCAUACAGCACGGUGUGAGGCUGGAACUCCCAGUGCCCUCAGCACGUCUCCGUGCUGCGUCCCUGGCUGUGCAGCUCGGCCUGGAGGGCCCGGGGCUGUGAGCUCAUGGGUUUCUAUUUAUGCUUUCAUCUGGUUUUGCCUGCUUUGGACGGUUAACGUAACGCACACGCAGGGUGGUGCUUCAAGGAGACAAACAGUUGCUUCAUCUCCCUGUACAGACAGCCCUCUGCCCUUUGCGUUUCGAUUCCCGGUGUCUGUGUGUGUGGAGGUGAUUUGUCCAUAAUUGUUUGCUUUCUCCGGAGUCCUUUGAAGCGUCUGUCUCCCAACCGGUCCCCUCUUAAGAAUAAAUGCUUCCAAGCCACCAAUAACACGUGGGCCAUGAUUACAGCCCGGCUCCUCGCUGAGGGCCGUGAGGUCACCGAGGCAGCGCAGUGGGAACGGUUUUGCCUUCUGUGUGUGGGGUUGGGCAGAAGGACCCCCUGUGCUGCAGUGAGGGGCGGGGAGGGCUCUGUGUGGUGC
rnacentral:lncRNA from 1 species